rnacentral:rRNA from 1 species
GAUGAACGCUGGCGGCGUGCCUAACACAUGCAAGUCGAACGGAGUCCAGCCUUAGAGACCUUCGGGUCAAAGAGGGGAAGACUGAGUGGCGGACGGGUGAGUAACACGUGGGCAACCUGGCUCAUAGAGGGGGAUAACAGAGAGAAAUUUCUGCUAAUACCGCAUAAGCACACACUGCCGCAUGGCAGAGUGUGAAAAGAGAAUCGCUAUGAGAUGGACCCGCGUCUGAUUAGCCAGUUGGCAGGGUAAGAGCCUACCAAAGCGACGAUCAGUAGCCGAUCUGAGAGGAUGAACGGCCACAUUGGGACUGAGACACGGCCCAAACUCCUACGGGAGGCAGCAGUGGGGGAUAUUGCACAAUGGGGGGAACCCUGAUGCAGCGACGCCGCGUGAGUGAAGAAGUAUUUCGGUAUGUAAAGCUCUAUCAGCAGGGAAGAUCAUGACAG